GACAGAGGGUGCAAACGUUGUUCGGAAUUACUGGGCGUAAAGCGCGUGUAGGCGGCAAUACAAGUCGGAUGUGAAAUCCCGCGGCUUAACCGUGGAAGUGCACCCGAAACUGUAUCGCUAGAGUCCCGGAGAGGAUGGUGGAAUACUUGGUGUAGAGGUGAAAUUCGUAGAUAUCAAGUGGAACACCGGUGGCGAAGGCGGCCAUCUGGACGGUGACUGACGCUGAGACGCGAAAGCGUGGGUAGCAAACAGGAUUAGAUACCCUGGUAGUCCACGCCGUAAACGAUGAGUGCUAGGUGUCAGAGGCUUUGACCCUUCUGGUGCCGAAGCUAACGCGUUAAGCACUCCGCCUGGGGAGUACGGUCGCAAGACUAAA
rnacentral:rRNA from 1 species